rnacentral:rRNA from 1 species
AUACAGAGGGUGCGAGCGUUAAUCGGAAUUAUUGGGCGUAAAGGGCACGUAGGCGGUCUUUUUAGCUAGAUGUGAAAGACCUUGGCUUAACCAAGGAAUUGCAUUUAGAACUGGAAGACUAGAGAAAAGUAGAGGUGAGUGGAAUUUCCAGAGUAGCGGUGAAAUGCGUAGAUACUGGAAGGAACACCGGUGGCGAAGGCGACUCACUGGGCUUUUUCUGACGCUGAGGUGCGAAAGCGUGGGGAGCAAACAGGAUUAGAUACCCCAGUAGUCC